GACGAACGCUGGCGGCGUGCCUAAUACAUGCAAGUCGAACGAGUGGCGGACGGGUGAGUAAUGUCUGGGAAACUGCCUGAUGGAUGGGGAUAACUACUGGAAACGGUAGCUAAUACCGCAUACCCUCAGAUGUGCCAAGAUGGGAUUAGCUAGUAGGUGGGGUAACGGCUCACCUAGGCGACGAUCCCUAGCUGGUCUGAGAGGAUGACCAGCCAAACUGGAACGGAGACACGGUCCAGACUCCUAAGGUAGGCAGCAGGGGGGAAAAUUGCACAAUGGGCGCAAGCCUGAUGCAGCCAUGCCGAGUGUAGGAAGAAGGCCUUCGGGUUGUAAAGUACUUUCAGCGGGGAGGCGUUACCCGCAGAAGAAGCACCGGCUAACGCCGUGCCAGCAGCCGCGGUAAUUC
rnacentral:rRNA from 1 species